GUUAAAAGUCAUUGUUCUGAAUGUAAACGGCCCUUUGCAGCUUGUUCUUGUUCUGUGUUUUGUAGCUGAUAUCGGGGAGCUUCUGGAGCAGCUGGUUGAGGAGAUCAUCGGUUCUCUUUCAGGUCCAGCUAAAGAUUUCUACCAGCGCGAGUUUGACUUCUUCAACAAGAUCACCAAUGUCUCGGCCAUUAUAAAGCCGAUUCCUAAAGGUGACGAGCGGAAGAGAGCGUGUCUGCGAGCCCUGUCUGAUAUCAAAGUCCAGCCAGGCUGUUAUCUGCCCAGUAACCCUGAAGCUAUAGUGCUGGACAUUGAUUAUAAAUCAGGAACACCAAUGCAGAG